rnacentral:rRNA from 1 species
GUGUCAGCAGCCGCGGUAAUACAGAGGGUGCGAGCGUUAAUCGGAAUUAUUGGGCGUAAAGCGCAUGUAGGUGGUUGAGUAAGUUUGAUGUGAAAGCCCCGGGCUUAACCUGGGAAUAGCGUUGAAUACUGCACGACUUGAGUCGGACAGAGGGCAGUGGAAUUUCCGGUGUAGCGGUGAAAUGCGUAGAGAUCGGAAAGAACACCAGUGGCGAAGGCGGCUGCCUGGGUCCAGACUGACACUGAGGUGCGAAAGCAUGGGGAGCAAACAGGAUUAGAUACCCUGGUAGUCCAUGCUGUAAACGAUGAGAACUGGAUGUGCGGAGGGGAUUAACCCUUUGCGUAUCGAAGCUAACGCGUUAAGUUCUCCGCCUGGGGAGUACGGCCGCAAGGCUAAA